rnacentral:rRNA from 1 species
GACGAGCCUCACAAACGUUAUUCGGAAUUACUGGGCUUAAAGGGUGAGUAGGCGGCGCGGAAAGUUGGGUGUGAAAUCCCUCGGCUCAACCGAGGAACUGCGCCCAAAACUACCGUGCUCGAGGAAGAUAGAGGUGAGCGGAACUCACGGUGGAGCGGUGAAAUGCGUUGAUAUCGUGAGGAACACCCGUGGCGAAAGCGGCUCACUGGGUCUUUUCUGACGCUGAUGCACGAAAGCUAGGGGAGCAAACGGG